GCUACAGGGAGGGGCGGGGGAGUUCAUUUUAAAAUCAAGCCUCAAGCUGGCAAGGCAGCUGGUUACAUGUUCUCUCCCAGGAGCAAAGUGGAAGUGAAGCAUCCUGCCCCCACCCUAUUACAGAUUCCAGCUGCAAGUUUUGAGUUUUCCUGAAGUCAAAUGAAGCGAACUGAAUUACUCUGAAGUAAACAAAGUAAAGACUGCAUCUUCAAGAGGCUGUUGUUGGGUCACAGCCAUCUCGCUGUUGUGUGAACACAAGACUAAUUUAUACUACUGCAUUUGGCAACAGAGCAUGGCUGGAAGUAACUUACCAAAGGGUACUGAAAUAAUAAGGAUAUGCUCCUCAUGAAUGCACAGACAUAACAGACCAGAUCAGUAUGUAAUAUAUACAAAAAGAUGUAUUCACUACAAGAGAGAUACAGGAAGCACGGCUCUUAGGAGAGAGAUAUCUGAA